GGGGAAUAUUGCACAAUGGGCGCAAGCCUGAUGCAGCCAUGCCGCGUGUAUGAAGAAGGCCUUCGGGUUGUAAAGUACUUUCAGCGAGGAGGAAGGCGUUGUAGUUAAUAGCUGCAGCGAUUGACGUUACUCGCAGAAGAAGCACCGGCUAACUCCGUGCCAGCAGCCGCGGUAAUACGGAGGGUGCAAGCGUUAAUCGAAAUUACUGGGCGUAAAGCGCACGCAGGCGGUCUGUCAAGUCGGAUGUGAAAUCCCCGGGCUCAACCUGGGAACUGCAUUCGAAACUGGCAGGCUAGAGUCUUGUAGAGGGGGGUAGAAUUCCAGGUGUAGCGGCGAAAUGCGUAGAGAUCUGGAGGAAUACCGGUGGCGAAGGCGGCCCCCUGGACAAAGACUGACGCUCAGGUGCGAAAGCGUGGGGAGCAAAC
rnacentral:rRNA from 1 species